rnacentral:rRNA from 1 species
GACGAACGCUGGCGGCGUGCUUAACACAUGCAAGUCGAACGGAAAGGCCCUGCUUUUGUGGGGUGCUCGAGUGGCGCACGGGUGAGUAAAACGUGAGUAACCUGCCCUUGACUUUGGGAUAACUUCAGGAAACUGGGGCUAAUACCGGAUCGGAGCUCCUGCUGCAUUGUGGGGGUUGGAAAGUUUCGGCGGUUGGGGAUGGACUCGCGGCUUAUCAGCUUGUUGGUGGGGUAGUGGCUUACCAAGGUUUUGACGGGUAGCCGGCCUGAGAGGGUGACCGGCCACAUUGGGACUGAGAUACGGCCCAGACUCCUACGGGAGGCAGCAGUGGGGAAUAUUGCACAAUGGGCGGAAGCCUGAUGCAGCAACGCCGCGUGCGGGAUGACGGCCUUCGGGUUGUAAACCGCUUUCGCCUGUGACGAAGCGUGAGUGACGGUAAUGGGUAAAGAAGCACCGGCUAACUACGUG